GAUGAACGCUGGCGGCGUGCCUAAUACAUGCAAGUCGAGCGAACGGACGAGAAGCUUGCUUCUCUGAUGUUGGCGGCGGACGGGUGAGUAACACGUGGAUAACCUACCUAUAAGACUGGGAUAACUUCGGGAAACCGGAGCUAAUACCGGAUAAUAUUUUGAACCGCAUGGUUCAAAGGUGAAAGACGGUCUUGCUGUCACUUAUAGAUGGAUCCGCGCUGCAUUAGCUAGUUGGUAAGGUAACGGCUUACCAAGGCAACGAUGCAUAGCCGACCUGAGAGGGUGAUCGGCCACACUGGAACUGAGACACGGUCCAGACUCCUACGGGAGGCAGCAGUAGGGAAUCUUCCGCAAUGGGCGAAAGCCUGACGGAGCAACGCCGCGUGAGUGAUGAAGGUCUUCGGAUCGUAAAACUCUGUUAUUAGGGAAGAACAUAUGUGUAAGUAACUGUGCACAUCUUGACGGUACCUAAUCAGAAAGCCACGGCUAACUACGUG
rnacentral:rRNA from 1 species